AAUUAAAAUGAGUUCACUGUAAAUAGAGAAGUGUAACGUGUUCUACAAUAAAUUACCACCAAGUAAGUAUUUGUAGAAAAUUAGAAACGAAAAAUACACUCUUAAGGCCAAAGUAGGAAAAAGCUGCAGGAUCUCAAAUACAGUGUUAAGGCCAAAGUAGGAAAAAUACAGUGUCAAGGCCUUUCCAACAAUGCUUGUUUGUAACCUGCAAUUGAUGAAGUUAUAGAACCAAAUGAUCAAUAUGCCAAUUUGGAAAAAAAAAUUCACACACCUUAAAUCAUACUGGCUAACCACAGAUUGUCUUUGUUUUUGGUAUAAAGACCUGUUGGCUAAGCACCUUACAGAAUAUCUUUAAAAAGAAAAUGUUCAGUUACGUUAUUAAGAAAAUUUAAGUCCUACUGAGGUAUUAUGCAAACAUGAAUUCUAUCAAAAUUUUAACCAGCGAUUCAAAAAUUAACUUGUAUUUAUCUUUAAAAUACUUUAUUAGCAUCAUAAAAUGAAAGAUACCCGUUCCUCUUAAAAGAAAAAAAGUCCCAGUACGAUUAUGUUUUAGCCAUAACCAUAAGAACACAAUAGAGCUUCUGAGAACGUGCACCUUAUAUUUGACAGAUGGUGACGGUAUCAUAUCCAUAUGCAUCAAAAAAAUCAGAGGCAACAUAAAGAUGGAGAGUUGUUGACAUAUUCGACAUUUUUCUGAUCCAUUUCUCUGCAACCAUUUUGCAUAAAAUCACAUUGUACCUGUAAAUGAAAUAUAAUUCAGAGCUGGGGUCAUAUGAAAGAGAAAACUCAAAUUCAUUUU
rnacentral:lncRNA from 1 species